AUGGCGUCCGAUGGCAAGAGCAAGAUCCUUGUGAUCGGCGCGACGGGGUACAUCGGCAGGCACGUCGUCGCCGCCAGCGCGCGGCUCGGCCACCCCACCCUGGCGCUCGUCCGGGACGCCGCCCCCUCCGAGCCGGCCAAGGCGCAGCUGCUCAAGACCUUCCAGGACUCGGGCGUCACGCUCCUCACGGGCGAUCUCCACGACCACGGUAGCCUGCUGAUCGCCGUCAAGGCGGCCGACGUCGGCAUCUCCACGCUGGGCUCGAUGCAGAUCGCCGACCAGACCAAGCUCAUCGCCGCCAUCAAGGAGGCCGGCAACGUGAAGAGGUUCUUCCCGUCGGAGUUCGGGCUGGACGUGGACCGCACCGGCGCCGUGGAGCCGGCCAAGUCCAUCUUCGCCCUCAAGGCGGGCAUCCGCCGGGCCGUCGAGGCCGAGGGCAUCCCCUACACCUACGUGGUGGCCAACUACUUCGCCGGGUACUCGCUGCCCACCAUCGGGCAGGUGCUCUCCCCGGCGCCCCCGACCGACAGCGUCGUCAUCCUCGGCGACGGCGAGACCAAGGUGGUCUUCGUGGACGAGGCGGACAUCGGCACGUACACGGUGCUGGCGGCGGACGACCCCCGGGCGGAGAACAAGGUGCUGUAG
rnacentral:rRNA from 1 species